rfam:Pseudomonas stutzeri A1501, complete genome.
GAACGCUCCGGAUGGUGCGGCAGUCGAUCAUCGUAUGCUGCCGCGCCCGCUUCCUGGCGUUC